rnacentral:snRNA from 1 species
GUUCUUGCUUCGGCAGCACAUAUACUAAAAUUGGAACGAUACAGAGAAGAUCAGCAUGGCCCCUGCGCAAGGAUGACACACAAAUUUGUGAAGCGUUCCAUAUUUUU